rnacentral:pre_miRNA from 1 species
AUGUUGUGCCACUGUCAAAGAGUGAAUGUCUCCUCCAGAAUGAAUUAAUGUUGUGCCAUUCUGGAGGAGACAUUCACUCUUUGACAGUGGCACAAC